CUAAAGGAGCAAAUGAUAAAAAGAGAUCAAAAGAAAUUUAGAGAUUAUAUAAAUAAGAACUGAGUUUUGAUUCCAUCAAACCAAAGCGUGUGAAUCGGUUUAAUUGCUGAGUUUUCUGAACUUUUCAUCUUUCUCCUCCUAAAAUUCUUUACUUUGACCCUUUACUCUUUCAUUCUCUCUUUGCAGCACUUUUCUAGGGUUCCUUUCUUCGUCUUCUUCAUCCACAAUCAUUCUUCUCCUCCUUCAUAAAGUCACUCCAUCUGUACCGUUCUCUGUGUCCACAUUCUCUCGCUUAGUACACUGUUCAAAAUGGCCUCUUUCGCUCCCUCUUCUUCUCUGAAUCCGAAACCCGUUUCAGCUCUAUCUUUUUCUUCUCCAGAUGUUGUUGAUGACAGCUAUGAAGACUCCUGCAGUAUCUGCCUUGAGCCUUUCAACUGCGAUGACCCAGCCACUAUUACCAGCUGCAAACAUGAGUAUCAUCUUCACUGUAUUUUAGAAUGGUCACAAAGAAGUAAAGAAUGCCCAAUUUGUUGGCAGUUACUUGUCUUGAAGGAUCCUGCUUGUCAAGGGCUUCUAGAUGCUGUACAAAAUGAGAGGCGCUCAAGGUCCAGAAAAAUAUCUUCCAUGGCCCCCCAGACUUUUCAUCAUUCCUAUGAGGACUUUGAUGUUGAGCACGACUCUUUCUCAGAUGACUCUGAUUUGGAUGAGCGUAUUAUGCAGCAUCUUGCUGCUGCUUCAAGCAGAGCUCGUUACAUUCGCAGACGGGAAAAACAAAGAUCUUCUGGCCUAGGUCCUUCCCAUGUUUUUAUUUUCUCCCCUCAUGAAAAUGGGAGUGGUAUGCAGCAAACACACCCAACAUCUCCAGAAGAAUGCCAAAGUUAUGGGUCACCUAGAGGUGAUUCACCAAUUUCUCAAAGGCCACCUGUUAUUCAACCUCCACCAUCUUUUAUCUGCAGCACUGCCGCCAAUAGUGAUGUCCCUUACAAACCAAGAGUGCUUUAUGGCCAGUCAUCACCUGAUGUUCCACGCAGACAAAGCCCAUCUGAGAUGAUCAAUUUGCCUGAUUCUAUCAAAUCCAAGUUGUCUGCUGCCUCAGCCAGAUACAAAGAGUCAAUCUCUAGAAGCACUCGAGGCUUUAAGGAGAAGCUAGUUGCUCGUAACAACUCAGUCAAGGAGCUCAGCAAAGGAGUUCAGCGUGAGAUGAGUGCAGGAAUUGCUGGUGUUGCACGAAUGUUUGAGCGCUUAGACCUUACCCCAAAGAAACCUGGAGCCCCCACUCCAGUUUCUGGUCGUAAUGGAGGCACUUCAAACUUCAAGGGAAAAGGUGUGCUAGAAAAUGUUAUUGUUCAGUCUUGUAACAAAAGUAGCGGGAGAAUCGCUGAUGAGAGUUCAGAUGGACCCUCUCACAUCACAGUUGCUGCACCAGGCCGUGUUGGUGUUGAAAUUUCUUCUGCACAGAGCGAACACUGAUACAAUGAAGUUUGGAUUUGGCUCCUCGACUGAUGGUUUCUGUCUUAACUCUCAAGCGUAAGGCACGUGUUUUACCUCUCAAGCAUUAGGCAUAUCAGCAAGUGACGUUAUGCGAAGAGCCAAGCUGCUGGUUGGUUUUGCGUCCUGCAUUGCCUAUUUAUGUGAAAUAGAAACCAUAGUUCCAUAUGGAUGAGUUAUUUGUCCUGCCCUACAAUUUUUUUCCUUUGUUGCUUAGUAUUAAAGGGAUUCUGGGGGAAUUCUGUGCCAGUUGCCUCAGGCCAUCGACUGUUUAAACUUAUUUUAUUAUAGUAUACUGUGUUUUGCUUCUUUGUUGAAUCUUGUUUAAUUCUCA